AAUAUUGGACAAUGGGCGCAAGCCUGAUCCAGCCAUGCCGCGUGAGUGAAGAAGGCCUUAGGGUUGUAAAGCUCUUUCACCCGCGAAGAUGAUGACGGUAGCGGGAGAAGAAGCCCCGGCCAACUCCGUGCCAGCAGCCGCGGUAAUACGGAGGGGGCAAGCGUUGUUCGGAUUUACUGGGCGUAAAGGGCGCGUAGGCGGAUGUUCGCGUCAGAGGUGAAAGCCCCGGGCUCAACCUGGGAACUGCCUUUGAAACGGGACAUCUUGAGUUCGGAAGAGGGUAGCGGAAUUCCCAGUGUAGAGGUGAAAUUCGUAGAUAUUGGGAAGAACACCAGUAGCGAAGGCGGCUUUCUGGACGUCUACUGACGCUGAGGCGCGAAAGCGUGGGGAGCAAACA
rnacentral:rRNA from 1 species